AGCGGCAGGCUUAACACAUGCAAGUCGAGGGCAGCACGGGUAGCAAUACCUGGUGGCGACCGGCGCAAGGGUGCGUAACGCGUGAAGCAACAUGCCCUAUACAGGGGGAUAAUCCAGGGAAACUUGGUCUAAUAUCCCAUAGUAUUUAGAGGAGGCAUCUUCUAUAAAUUAAAGCUUCGGUGGUAUAGGGAUUGGCUCGCGUGACAUUAGCUAGAUGGUGAGGUAACGGCUCACCAUGGGCAAUGAUGUCUAGGGGUUCUGAGAGGAAGGCCCCCCACACUGGGACUGAGACACGGCCCAGACUCCUACGGGAGGCAGCAGUGAGGAAUAUUGGACAAUGGAUGGAAAUCUGAUCCAGCCAUGCCGCGUGCAGGAAGACAGCCCUAUGGGUUGUAAACUGCUUUUAUAUGGGAGCAAUAAGGUCUACGUGUAGACUGAUGAGAGUACCAUAUGAAUAAGCAUCGGCUAACUCCGUG
rnacentral:rRNA from 1 species